GUAUAAGUUUAUAGGUACAAGACCCACAAAAGACAUUCUAGGUUAUUAAAGAGUGUAUAAGACAUAGGACUACGAAAACGGGCGGAAAUCCAAAGGAUUAACCUCCCAUAGCCGGCAAUCAGAGCGUGAACAAGGUUAAAACAAGAGGAUAAGAAAUCCAAUUGAAAUCCGCCAAUGCAUAAAAGCACGACGACCGGACUCAAGUUCAACAUAAGACUAAGAGAUAGUUAAACCUCUUAUUGCUUAGCCUCUAACGCACGAUAGUUACAUAGUCCUACAAAAGGUGCACAGGUGGAAAUGAAGAAAUGAAGCGAGCACAUGCUGCCAAGGCAGCCAGCUAACAAACUCCAAGUAACUUCGUUAAUGAUCCUUCCGCAGGUUCACCUACGGAAA
rnacentral:misc_RNA from 1 species